GAUGAACGCUGGCGGCGUGCCUAAUACAUGCAAGUCGAGCGAACGGACGAGAAGCUUGCUUCUCUGAUGUUAGCGGCGGACGGGUGAGUAACACGUGGAUAACCUACCUAUAAGACUGGGAUAACUUCGGGAAACCGGAGCUAAUACCGGAUAAUAUUUUGAACCGCAUGGUUCAAAAGUGAAAGACGGUCUUGCUGUCACUUAUAGAUGGAUCCGCGCUGCAUUAGCUAGUUGGUAAGGUAACGGCUUACCAAGGCAACGAUGCAUAGCCGACCUGAGAGGGUGAUCGGCCACACUGGAACUGAGACACGGUCCAGACUCCUACGGGAGGCAGCAGUAGGGAAUCUUCCGCAAUGGGCGAAAGCCUGACGGAGCAACGCCGCGUGAGUGAUGAAGGUCUUCGGAUCGUAAAACUCUGUUAUUAGGGAAGAACAUAUGUGUAAGUAACUGUGCACAUCUUGACGGUACCUAAUCAGAAAGCCACGGCUAACUACGUGCCAGCAGCCGCGGUAAUACGUAGGUGGCAAGCGUUAUCCGGAAUUAUUGGGCGUAAAGCGCGCGUAGGCGGUUUUUUAAGUCUGAUGUGAAAGCCCACGGCUCAACCGUGGAGGGUCAUUGGAAACUGGAAAACUUGAGUGCAGAAGAGGAAAGUGGAAUUCCAUGUGUAGCGGUGAAAUGCUCAGAGAUAUGGAGGAACACCAGUGGCGAAGGCGACUUUCUGGUCUGUAACUGACGCUGAUGUGCGAAAGCGUGGGGAUCAAACAGGAUUAGAUACCCUGGUAGUCCACGCCGUAAACGAUGAGUGCUAAGUGUUAGGGGGUUUCCGCCCCUUAGUGCUGCAGCUAACGCAUUAAGCACUCCGCCUGGGGAGUACGACCGCAAGGUUGAAACUCAAAGGAAUUGACGGGGACCCGCACAAGCGGUGGAGCAUGUGGUUUAAUUCGAAGCAACGCGAAGAACCUUACCAAAUCUUGACAUCCUUUGACAACUCUAGAGAUAGAGCCUUCCCCUUCGGGGGACAAAGUGACAGGUGGUGCAUGGUUGUCGUCAGCUCGUGUCGUGAGAUGUUGGGUUAAGUCCCGCAACGAGCGCAACCCUUAAGCUUAGUUGCCAUCAUUAAGUUGGGCACUCUAAGUUGACUGCCGGUGACAAACCGGAGGAAGGUGGGGAUGACGUCAAAUCAUCAUGCCCCUUAUGAUUUGGGCUACACACGUGCUACAAUGGACAAUACAAAGGGCAGCGAAACCGCGAGGUCAAGCAAAUCCCAUAAAGUUGUUCUCAGUUCGGAUUGUAGUCUGCAACUCGACUACAUGAAGCUGGAAUCGCUAGUAAUCGUAGAUCAGCAUGCUACGGUGAAUACGUUCCCGGGUCU
rnacentral:rRNA from 1 species